UACGGAAGGGGCAAGCGUUGUUCGGAAUCAUUGGGCGUAAAGGGCGCGUAGGUGGUUCUGUAUGUCUACCGUGAAAGCGUACGGCUCAACCGUAUUUUGUCGGUGGAAACUGCAGGACUUGAGGCUGGGAGGGGCUGGUGGAAUUCCCUGUGUAGCGGUGAAAUGCGUAGAGAUGGGGGAGAACACUCGUGGCGAAGGCGGCCAGCUAGACCAGUUCUGACACUGAGGCGACGACAGCGUGGGGAGCAAACAGG
rnacentral:rRNA from 1 species